UUUCAGAUUUUAAUUCUGCGUGGGUGUGAACACUUUUCAGUCCGCAGUUAACUAUGAUACUACGGCUUUCUUAAGCCGUCCCAGACCAGAGCGUUUCCUGAAACAGGAACGUUGGGAAGAAUCCAGCCACACACUGUAACACCUCUGAGCCGAAAUGAAAAGAAAACUGCUCCUGCACUGGCUGUCAAGUGACUCAUCGUUUUUUGGGAGGGGGUUUUGUUACAACCUGUUCACGUGUCGAUUUUAAAAUGCCUAAUUGCAACAAGCAAACUGACAGGGUUAAUACACAGAGAACGUUGCAGCUGGCAGGGAACUGAGAAGGACUGAGGCAGCGCAGGCUUUGCAGAGCAGCAGGAGUAUUUCAGCAGACGGAUGGACAGGAGCGCGCCGUCAUCCUGAAACACGGCCGACCGCAGCCAGAGGUUGUAAAUCUGGCCGUGCCUGAACUUCAGCACUGGCCAACUUUUGUGAGCAUGCACCUGAACGCAUCGUGCGCUGCAAUGCUGCAGUCUGGACUGGACAACAAACAACGUUGCGCAAGCAUGUUGAUCAAAUCCUAAUUUUAAUGUCAGCAUUUUUUUUAUUGUUUCACUCCAAACACAUGCAGCUAUAUGUGUUCACAAGAGUGUGUUCCAAUGUGCAGGGCUAUAUUUAGGAGGAUGUGGGCCCCUGAGCUAGAGCCGGUUUUGGCACCCUACCCACACACGCUUCUUUUACCCAGGCAAAUUUCAGCUGACUGAAAGCUAGGGACACACCAACUACAUCACUUCUUCGACUAUUAAAGCAACAAUGUCAAACCUGUA